UGAGGAAUAUUGGUCAAUGGACGAGAGUCUGAACCAGCCAAGUAGCGUGAAGGAUGACUGCCCUAUGGGUUGUAAACUUCUUUUAUAUGGGAAUAAAACAGGGUAUGCAUACCCUCUUGUAUGUACCAUAUGAAUAAGGAUCGGCUAACUCCGUGCC
rnacentral:rRNA from 1 species